rnacentral:rRNA from 1 species
UACGUAGGGGGCUAGCGUUGUCCGGAUUUAUUGGGCGUAAAGAGCGUGUAGGCGGCCAGGUAGGUCUGGUGUGAAAACUCGAGGCUCAACCUCGAGAGGUCAUCGGAAACCAUUUGGCUAGAGUCCGGAAGAGGAGAGUGGAAUUCCCGGUGUAGCGGUGAAAUGCGCAGAUAUCGGGAAGAACACCUAUGGCGAAGGCAGCUCUCUGGGACGGUACUGACGCUGAGACGCGAAAGCGUGGGGAGCGAACAGG